CUUAACAAGGGUUCAUGAUGAUAGAUGUAGUAACAGUGUUUCACCAGCAAGUGGCGCAUGGAGGCUCUGAAUUGCUCUGGCGUUUCUCAUAAGCUACACGGACUGCGUCUCAUUUACAUGCUGCUUUUCAGUGCCCUGUGAUGGACGGGCAGGCUGUACGUGGAGUUACCUGCUUCCCCCAAUGUUGAUGCUGGAAACAGGCACCAGAACACCGUGUCCCAGCAAGGAUAAACUGCAGCCAACGGCAUCAGGGCGACACCGAGGACUGGAGACCUGGUCAUCACAGCAAGUCAAGAAUCCUGCUGCUAAUCCAGCACACACACCAUGGGCUGGGUGUUGAAAAAGGUCAAUGCUGUUGAUCCCGACGAGUCAUUAAGUGUAUGCAGCUGAUGCCAUCAUGAAAUUUCUAGCUGAUUUGGAAAAGGAUGAAAGGAGGUUGAAAAUGAUGGCGAGGAUGCAGGGAAAGUCGUUGUGUCGGGGCUGAGCUCCCUUUGCUGCGAGGGAUCAUCACACCUGCUUUUGCAUCGACAGCCUUGACGGGACCUCCUGUAAUCACAAUUUUUACCCAAAUUUAACCAAUGGGAGACUGUCACAUUUGUUUUGCGUUGAGUUCAAUCACCUGGUGGAUUUACAUAUCCCAGCAGUUAGCCUGGUGGCAAAGGGAUGUGGGUGGCGUUAGGCAGAAAUAUCAACGAGGGAACACAGAGAGCACAUAAUACUGAUUUCAUAUCGACUAACGCACAAACGGUUUCACACAAAUCCUCAACAAAAAGCACCAUUAGUGGAUUCUGCUGUGGAUUAUAUUUGCCGAGCUGCACAGAGUCAUGAGGAUAGUGAUAUUAGUGUAAUCUUACACUGCCAUCUAGUGUUUGAGAUAAAGAAAACCGUGUCUGAGUUUUCUGUCCAUUUAAAAGCAAUUUAAUUUCUGCAUUCUGCCUGCAUUUGGCAGCUACGCUGUGACAACCACUUUGUUCAAGAAUUUAUAUAAGAAAGGUGAAAAAGUUCAAGGGAUAGAGAGAGGUAUGAAUAGCAACAGCCCCAUAUUAAACCAUCUGACUACAUCAAUAUGAGAAAAAUUUAGAUUCUUUAAGACAGUAUAAGUAUUACUAUAGAUUAAUAUGGCCUUUAAUGUGUUGGAAGCCUAUUUUAAAAAAAAUAAAACUCAGAUCAUAACUAUGACCUGCAAAGGAAAAAUCUUUAGGAUACGUGUUUCAUUUUGAAAAAUCUAAAAUCUUUUAAGAUCAUGAUUCAUUUUAAAUGUUUCAAAUAUGCUGGUCUGCAGUAUGAGAUUUGAGGAUUUUUGCAGUGAAGUUCCGUUAGAAGGUUUUCAGUGAGUUGUUAUCUUACCCACAGAACAAAAGUGCCUUGCUGUUUUCUCUUUUAGAAUAGUUUUAUGAAUGUGUGAAACAGUUUUACAUCUGCAUCGGUAACGGGUCAUUUGGCGAAUGAGUCAGCCCUGACAGCACACUCUCCAUAUGGGGAGGGCUGAACUCCACAUAUGGCUGAUACUCCUGGCUAUGAAUCAAGUCAGACAGCUUGAAUUUGAUAGGCGCACAAAGCAGCCAAUCACAUGCACAGACUGAGAUCAGAUGUGAAAGAAGGAAGAGAAAGGCAGACACUCGAUUCUAGUAUAGUGAUAUAGGUGAGAUGCAGAGAGGACAAAAAAUGGUCAAUUGGGUUUAAAUUCAAGAAGGUUUUAAAUAUUUUACUAAAAUCUUAAACUGGACUUAUUGUGUUUCCUUUUAGGCAAUGUAGGAUAGGUCUACAUGUUAUGCAAAACAUAUUUAUUAAUUUUUUUUUUCAUGACAUCGUUCUCUGGUCAGAUUUUUCUUUUGCUCAGUUCUGCCUAUUUUGAUGUUAUUUCAGAAUGAGCUGUUUUAAGACUCAGUUUAUUGUAUGCAAAUAAGCUGUAGGCCCCCAACUCAGUGUUUGCACUUGCACUUUAUACAUGUGAAAACAACUGCACAACCUUGCAUCUUUGACUGUAAGUCAGACCUUGAAGCAGAAGAAGAGUAGCUAUCAAAAUGCACCAAGACGUUUCUGGAUGGUAUAGUCAACAACACUUGUCUUUUCCAGUAGCCAUUGUAUAAAUUGAUACAAUUAACUGACCAAACAUGCUCAUCUUCUAACAUUAAAGUGGAUGGAAGGUGAGAGACAGUGUCCACUGAUUGUGAUGUGAAUAAAACUGUUACUGUGAGGUUUUUGAAACUGUUCUUUUUCCAGAGCCUAAAAGCAUUAAGUUAUUGCAAGAAAAUUUCUGGCUGGUUUUGUUUAGCGCUUGGACUAUUUCUAUAGAAUCGGUACGGGCCCAAAUGGAUGUACAAAAACUUGCAAAACGGGAAUUUUUCAUAGUAGAAUCUCUUUGAACAAUAGCAAACUGUAUUUAUUUUAUUUUUUUUGUCAUGUAAAAAAAGCAUAGAAAUAAGACUUGUAUGAGAACA